AAAAGCACUUUGAAGAGAGAGUUAAAGAGGACGUGAAACCGGUAAGAAGGAAACGGAUAGAGUCAACGUAUCUAGCCUGUAUUCAGCUGGUGUUCGGCGCCAGGCGUGUCGUUCUGAUCCCGCCUUGUUGGGUCGGGCGGCGCGUCGUUACGGCGUCGCUCGCUAGUGCAUUUGCAGGUGGAGUGCGCCGAGACGUGUGGUGUGGGGGUUUGAACCGUGCUCUGAGGUCACUCCACUCGUGGAGUGAAACCCGUGCGCUGGGGAUAGCUCUCCGUGCUACUCGGAGUGAGUGGUCGUGGCUGCGUCGUUGGGCGCUGUUGUGGCGGUGGGCGGCGGUCGCAUGCGACACGUGCUUUGCUGCUGCGACGGUGUUCGGCGGCGUUCCGCGGCCAAUCUCGGUGUAAAAGUUGGUCAUCUAUCCGACCCGUCUUGAAACACGGACCAAGGAGUUUAGCGAAUGCGCGAGUCAUUGAGUGUACGAAACUCAAAGGCGCAAUGAAAGUGAAUCUAUGAUAUGCGACCGCGCCGGCUACGGCAGGUGCGAGCAGCAUAGCCCCGUCCCGAUCGCAUGCGAUGGGGCGGAGGUAGAGCGUAUUUGCUGAGACCCGAAAGAUGGCGAACUAUUCCUGAGCAGGACGAAGCCAGAGGAAACUCUGGUGGAAGUCCUACGCGGUUCUGACGUGCAAAUCGAUCGUCUGACUUGGGUAUAGGGGCGAAAGACUAAUCGAGCCAUCUAGUAGC
rnacentral:rRNA from 1 species